GACGAACGCUGGCGGCGUGCUUAACACAUGCAAGUCGAACGGAAAGGCCCUGCGUUUGUGGGGUGCUCGAGUGGCGAACGGGUGAGUAACACGUGAGUAACCUGCCCUUGACUUUGGGAUAACUUCAGGAAACUGGGGCGAAUACCGGAUAGGAGCUCCUGCUGCAUGGGGGGGGUUGGAAAGUUUCGGCGGUUGGGGAUGGACUCGCGGCUUAUCAGCUUGUUGGUGGGGUAGUGGCGUACCAAGGCUUUGACGGGUAGCCGGCCUGCGAGGGUGACCGGCCCCAUUGGGACUGAGAUACGGCCCAGACUGCUACGGGGGGCAGCGGUGGGGAAUAUUGCACAAUGGGCGGAAGCCUGAUGCAGCAACGCCGCGUGCGGGAUGACGGUCUUCGGGUUGUAAACCGCUUUCGCCUGUGACGAAGCGUGAGUGACGGUAAUGGGUAAAGAAGCACCGGCUAACUACGUG
rnacentral:rRNA from 1 species